UACUGAAUGUUUUCCUACCUCACAUCAUGA
rnacentral:piRNA from 1 species